GAUGAAGAACGUAGCGAAAUGCGAUACGUAAUGUGAAUUGCAGAAUUCAGUGAAUCAUCGAGUCUUUGAACGCACAUUGCGCCCCCUGGUAUUCCGGGGGGCAUGCCUGUCCGAGCGUCAUUGCUGCCCUCAAGCACGGCUUGUGUGUUGGGCCUCCGUCCUCCUCCCGGGGGACGGGCCCGAAAGGCAGCGGCGGCACCGCGUCCGGUCCUCGAGCGUAUGGGGCUUUGUCACCCGCUCUUGUAGGCCCGGCCGGCGCUUGCCGACACAUCAAUCUUUUUUCCAGGUUGACCUCGGAUCAGGUAGGGAUACCCGCUGAACUUAAGCAUAUCAAUAAGCGAGGA
rnacentral:misc_RNA from 1 species